rnacentral:rRNA from 1 species
AUUGAACGCUGGCGGCAUGCCUUACACAUGCAAGUCGAACGGCAGCACGGGGGCAACCCUGGUGGCGAGUGGCGAACGGGUGAGUAAUACAUCGGAACGUGUCCUGUAGUGGGGGAUAGCCCGGCGAAAGCCGGAUUAAUACCGCAUACGAUCUACGGAGGAAAGCGGGGGAUCUUCGGACCUCGCGCUGCAGGGGCGGCCGAUGGCAGAUUAGCUAGUUGGUGGGGUAAAGGCAUACCAAGGCGACGCUCUGUAGCUGGUCUGAGAGGACGACCAGCCACACUGGGACGGAGACACGGCCCAGACGCCUACGGGAGGCAGCAGGGGGGAAGUGUGGACGAGGGGGGCAACCCUGAUCCAGCAAUGCCGCGUGUGUGAAGAAGGCCUUCGGGUUGUAAAGCACUUUUGUCCGGAAAGAAAACUUCGUCCCUAAUAUGGAUGGAGGAUGACGGUACCGGAAGAAUAAGCACCGGCUAACUACGUGCCAGCAGCCGCGGUAAAAC